rnacentral:rRNA from 1 species
UACGGAGGGAGCUAGCGUUAUUCGGAAUUACUGGGCGUAAAGCGCACGUAGGCGGCUUUGUAAGUUAGAGGUGAAAGCCUGGAGCUCAACUCCAGAAUUGCCUUUAAGACUGCAUCGCUUGAAUCCAGGAGAGGUGAGUGGAAUUCCGAGUGUAGAGGUGAAAUUCGUAGAUAUUCGGAAGAACACCAGUGGCGAAGGCGACUCACUGGACGACGUGUUGACGCUGAGGUGCGAAAGCGUGGGGAGCAAACAGG